UACAGAGGGUGCGAGCGUUACUCGGAAUUACUGGGCGUAAAGCGCACGUAGGCGGAUCGAUCAGUCAGGGGUGAAAUCCCAGGGCUCAACCCUGGAACUGCCUUUGAUACUGUCGAUCUGGAGUAUGGAAGAGGUGAGUGGAAUUCCGAGUGUAGAGGUGAAAUUCGUAGAUAUUCGGAGGAACACCAGUGGCGAAGGCGGCUCACUGGUCCAUUACUGACGCUGAGGUGCGAAAGCGUGGGGAGCAAACAGG
rnacentral:rRNA from 1 species